rnacentral:sRNA from 1 species
GAAGCUAUUCUCUUCUCCCUGAAGGGAGGCAACACUGUCCGUUCGCCUGACUGGCAGUGUUUUAAGGACCCAUCGCGCUUGACGGGAAAGUCAGAUUAAAAAUCAAGAAAUAUAAACCAGAUGUAGCAGUUUCUUGACAUGGAGAACCAAGCCCAUAAUACGAUGGGGCUGAAGUGUAAGACCUCAAUAACUACCUGCUUAUCCAGUCUGAGUGACUGGACUUACACCAGCUCCCUGGAGAAUGCUUCAGCUUCUUUGAAAAAGAACUCUGUAAACUUCUCCUUGUGAGGCUGAGCUUCAGGAAUUAAUGGAACAAAUUGACAUCAUGGUAAGCAACAAGAAAAUGGAUUGGGAAAGAAAGAUGCGGGCUUUGGAGACACGAUUAGAUCUUCGGGAUCAAGAAUUGGCAAAUGCACAAACUUGUUUGGAU